rnacentral:tRNA from 1 species
CGGGGUGUAGCGCAGCCUGGCUAGCGCAUCUGGUUUGGGACCAGAGGGUCGUAGGUUCAAAUCCUAUCACCCCGA